rnacentral:pre_miRNA from 1 species
CAGGUGACCACCUCUUGAAGCUCAUUGAGAGAAUGCCAAAAAAACAAAAGUAUCAUUCUCUCAAUGAGCUUCAAGAGGUGGUCACCUG